UUAACUGGCAGUCUUCCAAGACUGAACAUUAAUCUUACCAUCUCCUAUUACAGUCCCUAAUCAAGAUAUCCCAGGGGUGAUUGCACUAACAUUGUUUGAAGACUACAUCUACUGGACUGAUGGGAAAACCAAGUCACUCAGCCGUGUCCAUAAAACCUCGGGAGCAGACAGACUUUCACUGAUUUACUCAUGGCAUGCCAUCACAGAUAUCCAGGUGUAUCAUUCUUAUAGACAACCUGAUGUCUCCAAACAUCUUUGCACGGUAAAUAAUGGUGGUUGCAGCCAUUUGUGCCUUUUAGGCCCUGGGAAGACGCACACCUGUGCAUGUCCUACCAACUUCUACCUUGCAGCUGACAAUAGAACUUGUUUAUCCAACUGCACAGCAAGUCAGGUGAGUUGAGUUCUGAAACCAUCUCCUGUGUAGAUUGUGUGUGCUGUUAUUAAUGUUUGGCC
rnacentral:lncRNA from 1 species